AAGGAGCAGCUGAUCUGAGCAGUCAACCAGAUGUUUUAUAAUAAAAAUAGCAAUAUAAGUAGUGUAUAUCAAAUAAGUUUUUGAUGUUCAUUAAUGGCUAGAUGGAUUUGAAGGACUAUGAAUUGUGUACUGGGUCCAAUGUGGCCUCGAAUCUUCCUUUCUUUUCCCUUUAGCAGUUUAUCAAUGGCAUUGAGGUGAUUAGCCAGAUAGGCAUUGGAUGAGUUGACAGGGGUUUUCCUUCUAUAUCCGAUUGGUGAUAAUUGGAUCAUACAUGCAUUAUAUUGUAGAUAUGUUUAUAGUGGUUCAUUAGUAAUCUUUUCUUAAUUGCAUUUUAUUACAUCUGAUGUUCUAUUCACUCAUCAAUUAAAUGCAGACAAAAAGACUGAAAGAUUCCAUAUCACAAAUUUAUUCUAAACUUGAGGAAAUAAAGGUAUCCGCAAAGUCAGACCUGCGGCACCAGGUUUCCCUUGUUGUCCAUCCUAUGCAGCAGG